AGAGUUUGAUCCUGGCUCAGAACGAACGCUGGCGGCGUGGAUAAGACAUGCAAGUCGAGCGCUGAUUACAGGGUAGCAAUAUUCUGUGGUCGGAGCGGCGCAAGGGUGCGUAACACGUGGGCAAUCUGCCGUGAAGUCGGGGACAACUUGCUGAAAGGCGAGCUAAUACCGGAUGUAAAAAUCGGAAGGCAUCUUCUGAUUUUCAAAGCUGGGGACCGUAAGGCCUGGCGCUUCAUGAUGAGCCCGCGGCCUAUCAGCUAGUUGGUGAGGUAACGGCUCACCAAGGCUAAGACGGGUAGCUGGUCUGAGAGGACGACCAGCCACACUGGAACUGAGACACGGUCCAGACACCUACGGGUGGCAGCAGUCGAGAAUUUUUCACAAUGGGCGAAAGCCUGAUGGAGCGACGCCGCGUGGGGGAUGAAUGGCUUCGGCCCGUAAACCCCUGUCAUUUGCGAUCAAACCUCAUCAUUUAAAAGAUGAUGAGCUGAUAGUAGCGAAAGAGGAAGGGACGGCUAACUCUGUGCCAGCAGCCGCGGUAAUACAGAGGUCCCAAGCGUUGUUCGGAUUCACUGGGCGUAAAGGGUGCGUAGGUGGCGAGGUAAGUCGGAUGUGAAAGCUCGGAGCUCAACUCCGAAAUGGCAUUGGAAACUACCUUGCUCGAGGGUUGGAGGGGGGACUGGAAUUCUCGGUGUAGCAGUGAAAUGCGUAGAUAUCGAGAGGAACACCAGUGGCGAAGGCGAGUCCCUGGACAACUCCUGACACUGAGGCACGAAAGCUAGGGGAGCAAACAGGAUUAGAUACCCUAGUAGUCC
rnacentral:rRNA from 1 species